rnacentral:rRNA from 1 species
AGUCGGACGGGAUCCAUCGGUAGCUUGCUACCGAUGGUGAGAGUGGCGCACGGGUGCGUAACGCGUGAGCAACCUGCCCAUAUCAGGGGGAUAGCCCGGAGAAAUCCGGAUUAACACCGCAUGCAACCGAAGGAUGGCAUCAUCUUCCGGUUAAAUAUUCAUAGGAUAUGGAUGGGCUCGCGUGACAUUAGCUAGUUGGUGGGGUAACGGCCCACCAAGGCGACGAUGUCUAGGGGCUCUGAGAGGAGAAUCCCCCACACUGGUACUGAGACACGGACCAGACUCCUACGGGAGGCAGCAGUAAGGAAUAUUGGUCAAUGGGGGCAACCCUGAACCAGCCAUGCCGCGUGCAGGACGACUGCCCUAUGGGUUGUAAACUGCUUUUGUUAGGGAAUAAACCCCACUACGUGUAGUGGGCUGAAUGUACCUAAAGAAUAAGGAUCGGCUAACUCCGUGCCAGCAGCCGCGGUAAUACGGAGGAUCCGAGCGUUAUCCGGAUUUAUUGGGUUUAAAGGGUGCGUAGGCGGCACUUUAAGUCAGGGGUGAAAGACGGCAGCUCAACUGUCGCAGUGCCCUUGAUACUGAAGUGCUUGAAUGCGGUUGAAGACGGCGGAAUGAGACAAGUAGCGGUGAAAUGCAUAGAUAUGUCUCAGAACACCGAUUGCGAAGGCAGCUGUCUAAGCCGUUAUUGACGCUGAUGCACGAAAGCGUGGGGAUCGAACAGGAUUAGAUACCCUGGUAGUCCACGCCCUAAACGAUGAUGACUCGAUGUUUGCGAUAUACCGUAAGCGUCCAAGCGAAAGCGUUAAGUCAUCCACCUGGGGAGUACGCCCGCAAGGGUGAAACUCAAAGGAAUUGACGGGGGCCCGCACAAGCGGAGGAGCAUGUGGUUUAAUUCGAUGAUACGCGAGGAACCUUACCCGGGCUUGAAAGUUACUGAAGGGCGCAGAGACGCGCCCGUCCCUCGGGACAGGAAACUAGGUGCUGCAUGGCUGUCGUCAGCUCGUGCCGUGAGGUGUUGGGUUAAGUCCCGCAACGAGCGCAACCCCUAUG